CUGCAUUUAUCUUUCUGCUCCAUUUUAGUCUAAUCUGCAACGAGCCCGCCUUGCUCUUGCAGUGCGUGUCACAUGAAGAGGAGCGGCUGUCGGGAGCCAUCAGAGCGGAGGGCAGGGGCGGCGGAGGGCAGGGGCGGUGGCGGGCCAACUGAGGGGGCAGAGCCAGAGGCCACUGGCCACUGGGCAACAGUGUCCCUGAGAUGGGCGCAGGUUCCCCGAGACCGACAGGAAGCCGCGCAUGAGCCCGAGAGUCCCCCCAAAUGUCGCGGAACACACGUGGCAGACUAGACCGCAAACGUGCACGCAGGUGGAAGCCAGACGGGUGACAGCCCAGGCCCCCAGACCUAGGAGGAGCCCAAGCCAGGGGCAGUGCCCCUCCCCCAGGAAGCGCCCAGGGAGCAGGACUGUCAGCAGGCGGCCAGGGGAGAAGCCGCCUUGCCUUGGGCGGGGCUCUCACACUUUAGCUGCUCAGAACACCCCGAGGGCUUGUUAGACACAGAUGGCCGGGCUCACACGGAGCUUCUGAUCUGCUAGAGCUGGGCGGGCGGAGAACCGGCAUCGCUAGCGAGUCUCCAGGUGACGCUGAUGUUCCUAGACUUGGAGGCCUGCCUGCGGCAGUUAGGACUUCCCGCUCCUCCUGCCCGGGCCUCAGCUUUCUUACAGACCGCAGUGUAGGGUGAGGCUCCGGAAGAGAGUUGGGAUGGGACUGGGGGACGGUCCCUCCGCUGCUCCCACUCUCUGGCGGGUUGCUCAGCCCCGUUCCAGGGAGCCACCGCCCUGAGGUCCGCAGCCGCACGCACAACUGCUUUUCCCCAGGGGUGCGUUCUUGGGGUUGGGGAAAGCAGGGGGGCUUCCUUCACCCACACUUGUGCUCCUCCCUUCCUGCAGCGCCCGGCUAGACACCCGACACCCCACAGAGCUCCUGCCCGAUGAGUUUGGGGGUCGUCACAGCCAUGCUUCAGCCAGCCCUGCCAAUGGCCUGGGGCUGGCCCGCUGUGGUUUAGCCUGUCCUCCAUCCCGUGAUCCGGAAGCUCUGCAGUGGGGAGAGGCGGGGCAGGGCCUGUGCUGAUGGUGGAAAACUGGAGUCACCUCGCCUUUCUGCUCAGAAGGUCUGCAGUUGCUGCCUUUCUCGGCUGGCCCACCUGGCACGGAGAAGCAGGUGCUGUUCCCUUAAAUGAGCACCCAGGGCCCUGUGGGAGCCUGUAGAGCCCUGUGACACUCUGGCAUCUCCACCUCCACCGCCACCCAGAACUUCCCAAAGAGCCCCGUGCUGGUCGGUAGCAACCGAAAGACUUGUAAAUGUGCCUGCAGUUGGAAAGGGACAGUUCCCAACCCCCCGGGACCGCUUGCUGCCUCGGAUCUGUUUCCUACCUCCACUUCCCUCGGACGUCUCCGUUACAAAUGGGAAACAGAGAGGCGGUUUGGGAGCCGCCAGCCCCUGGGGACAGGGAAAAAUCGGGCAAGCCUGAGGAUGCAGCUCUGCCUCCCAGGCCCCCGUGCCUGGUUCCUCACGCACUGCUGCAUCUCAGCCACUGUGGGGCUCGCGGCUGCUUGAGCCCCUGCACCUGAAUCCCUUCUUCUGGGGUCAAAGGUCAGCGAUGGGGAUUCCAUCUGUCUUUCAACUGAACUCCCGGGUCCUGAACCGUUCGGCUACACCGGAGCAGUCAGGUGGGGUGGGGAAAGGAAGGCGGCUCGUGAUGUCUUUUCUCCUGCAAAGACAGGUUCACAGUGGCAGAAGAGAUUCCCCUAUUUUUUGUAGAAUGGCGAUAAUGGCUAACAUGGAUCGAGCACUUACCGCAUGCUAGCCACGGUGUAGGGGUCCCAUGGGCGUCACUUUAGCUCACCCACAGCGGCCUUACGAAGUGAGUACGAUUAUCCCCAUUUUACACAUUCCGAUAACAGAGCUCGGGAGAGGUCAAAUGAUUUAUGCAAAGCCACACAGCUAGCAGGCGGCAGAAUCAGGAUUCAAAUGCUGUCUGACUCCAAGGGCUCGACCACUCCACUGUAUUCAAAUUUAUAUAGUUUCAAAGUCUGUCCGAAGUUUCCCGACAGCACGGGACUUCUGAGGUCUGUGUGCACCGGAGCUCCCCGUGCGGCCACUUUUAUUUUGAGAGGCUGCCCUCCUUUUUUUCUUUUUUUCUUUUUUAAAUCUGGGAUAAUUUGCGACUUUAUUGUCAGGACUUUGAUUGUGAAACCUCUUGAACCAUGCUCUCUUGAGAACCCAGCUGGUGCUUCCUUCCUUGAAAUUCCGAAACACGCUUUUACAGGCCUGGCUACGGCCCUCGCCUUUCAUUCCCUGGAUCCCGUCAACGCUACAACCCGCAGUGGCCUCCUCUGGAGGCUCUGUCGCUGCCCUCGCCACUCAGUUCUCUGCCGGUCAGGAUGAAGUCCGGAACGGCUUUUGCCCGUGGCCUUCCUCUGCUUCCGAGCUCAGGUGGCAGCUGGGCAAGUCAGGAGCUCAUCAGAGGCUCGACGCUGAGCCGAGCCGUGCGCCAAGCAAGUGCCUGGAUGACAGAAGUCCCCACCACGGCUUCGCCUGGCUGCCAGGCCGAUUUUACAGCCUCAGUUGGAACACGUGGCCCUGUGGUCCCCCCUUUCUUGCUACGUGGCCUGUACCAUUCUCAUACCACAGCACCCUCCUCCUGAGCCGUCCUCCUUUUACCCACACCCAACCAAAGCCUGGUUCUGCCUUGCUGGCCGUCCACGGCCCUGUUAGUCACGAACCGGUCACCCACCCUCCAUCUCCAAUGCAGACGCCAAUUCCUUGCGCUCCUUUGGGUUCCUUUUUUCACAGCCCCAAGCCAAGAACCCAGAGCGGCCCUCUGCCUGUGGUGGAAAUUCCCAGUCGCCAGUUCCCCGGCCCCCACCCCUUGAGCACCACCGCACACAGAAAGAGACCAGGUGUGUCUUGCUUCGAGAUGUCUUCGAGCUCUGAAAGAGCCUUUGUUUGAAAACGCCAGCCUCCUUUGCAACAAGAGAACACCGGGAGGUCGAGGGAGCACUCCAGAGCUAUUCCCUGUCUCCCGGUUGCCACCCUCGGGCAUCAAAAGGGCCAGGCCACCAGCCCGCCAGGAGGGAAGAACGGCCCAGGCUCCAGCUCAGCCAUAAGAGUGAUGUGUGGUCUGCCGUGGCCUGGUACUGAGCCCACGGAUAUCUACCUUCUCAUUUACUCUUGGGACCGUCUCGAUGAGUUAGGCUGAACAGCAAGGGCUCCUGUGUCUGCUCUUAGCCUUCAAUCCAAGCUUCAAGCUCUCAGCCCAUUACAACCUACAAGCGUCCUGGGGUUCGGCCGUCUCCCCGAUGUCAUCUCCACGGGUCCCCGACCCCUGAGAGCCGCAGCAGAGCCCACGCAGCCGGGCAGCACCGCUUCUCUGGCCGCCGCGUGCCCGGGGGAGGGCGGAGGAUUCAGCCAAGCGCCCUGGGAAGCCUGGUCCAGAGCCCUUCUCUUCUCCGAUCUUGGGCCGCUUAGAUUCACCCAAAUAUCACAACGAGCCCGUCCCGAAGCGCUGUGUGCACACGGGGCACGCGCCUGUGCUCGCACACACGCGACUUCGGAAUGUGCCGGGCGGCUCUGCUCCAGCCCCGGACUCUACACGCCAUCUGCCAGAAGCUAUUUUAAGCGCCUAAUAAAACUGUUUGAGAACGAAUCCUGGGGUGUUCUGCCCUUUGCUUCCCCAGAGCAAGAGGGACUGGGCUCCAGGUGGAGCUGGACUUUCCUACCAAGCAAAGAGGAGGAGGAAGAGUCAACCAACGGCUAGCGGGAGACCCCAGGGCCCCCACACACAAGCAGCACGGUGCAUCUCAGCGUCGACUGCACUGGCUAUUCCUGGGCUGAUAACACCCCAUCUGGGGGUGGGGGCUGCUAGGACCUUACUCUGAGGUUUUCACACCUGAGCACACAAGCAGAACCGCCUGGAGGGCUGUCAAAACACAUGACCGGGCCCAGGGCCCAACCUCGGAGUUCCGACCCCCUGAGUUUGGGGUGGGGCCUCAACAUCUGCGCUCCUAACGCAAAUUCUCCAGUUACUUUGGGUUCAGGGACCACACGCUGAGAGCCAGUGAUCUAACCCGGGAGCCCCUUGUGAGGCUUAAACGAGAAAAUAUGUCAAGCGCCUGGCACGCAGUGAGACCGCGGUUCUCAACCUGGGCUGUGCAUUAGAAUCGCCUGGGGAGCUUGAAACGUCCUGAUGCUCAGCCUUGCUCGCCGAUUAAAUCAGAGUCUCUGGGGGGAGAGACGCACGUUACCACUUUUUUUUUUUUUUUUAAAGCUCCCAGGUGACUGAAAUGUGCAGCCAAGGUUGAGCGUCCCUGUGCUAAGAGCUCCAUAAAUGUGAAAUGCCCUUUAUGAGCUACCCAGGCUCAUACCUCUCUGCUUCAGGGCCUCCCUCCCCUCCUCCUCCUCCCCCGGGUCCCAUCGCCUGCUCUG